GUUGGGUUAAGUCCCGCAACGAGCGCAACCCCUAUUGUUAGUUGCCAUCAUUCAGUUGGGCACUCUAGCGAGACUGCCGGUAAUAAACCGGAGGAAGUGGGAUGACGUCAAAUCAUCAUGCCCCUUAUGACCUGGGCUACACACGUGCUACAAUGGUUGGUACAACGAGUUGCGAGUCGGUGACGGCGAGCUAAUCUCUUAAAGCCAAUCUCAGUUCGGAUUGUAGGCUGCAACUCGCCUACAUGAAGUCGGAAUCGCUAGUAAUCGCGGAUCAGCACGCCGCGGUGAAUACGUUCCCGGGCCUU
rnacentral:rRNA from 1 species